GACGAACGCUGGCGGCGUGCUUAACACAUGCAAGUCGAACGAAGUGGCGAACGGGUGAGUAACGCGUAAUCAACCUGCCCUUCAGAGGGGGACAACAGUUGGAAAGGACUGCUAUUACCGCAUACUGAAGGAGGGGAUUGAGUCUGAUUAGCUAGUUGGUGGGGUAACGGCCCACCAAGGCGAUGAUCAGUAGCUGGUCUGAGAGGAUGAUCGGCCACAUUGGGACUGAGACACGGCCCAGACUCCUACGGGAGGCAGCAUUGGGGAAUAUUGCACAAUGGGCGCAAGCCUGAUGCAGCCAUGCCGCGUGAGUGAUGAAGGUCUUCGGAUCGUAAAACGCUGUUAUUAGGGAAGCGGUACCUAAUCAGAAAGCCACGGCUAACUACGUGCCAGCAGCCGCGGUAAUUC
rnacentral:rRNA from 1 species